CCUACGGGCGGCAGCAGUGAGGAAUAUUGGUCAAUGGACGAGAGUCUGAACCAGCCAAGUAGCGUGAAGGAUGACUGCCCUAUGGGUUGUAAACUUCUUUUAUAUGGGAAUAAACUGUUCCACGUGUGGGCUUUUGUAUGUACCAUAUGAAUAAGGAUCGGCUAACUCCGUGCCAGCAGCCGCGGUAAUACGGAGGAUCCGAUCGUUAUCCGGAUUUAUUGGGUUUAAAGGGAGCGUAGGUGGAUUGUUAAGUCAGUUGUGAAAGUUUGCGGCUCAACCGUAAAAUUGCAGUUGAUACUGGCAGUCUUGAGUACAGUAGAGGUGGGCGGAAUUCGUGGUGUAGCGGUGAAAUGCUUAGAUAUCACGAAGAACUCCGAUUGCGAAGGCAGCUCACUGGACUGCAACUGACACUGAGGCUCGAAAGUGUGGGUAUCAAACAGGAUUAGAUACCCCAGUAGUC
rnacentral:rRNA from 1 species